UCUGGUAGUGUGUUGGGAAGAGUAUGUAGGUGCCUAUGCUCUCUGCCUGCUUGGCGGUGCUAUAUGGGCAGGUGUGUAGUGAACUUUUACAUACACAGACCUGUUAAAGCCCCAUUUUCAGCCCAUCGUCCUGGUCCACCAGGCAGGCCUGAGGCUUCCAUCGCUGAGUUCAAAGCUUUGCUUCUAGGCUACCUGCUUCCAUUUACUUCCCAUCUUUCGCAGAUGAAUUGAGAUGGCUUGUUUAUUGUUGAACUUCCUUGCCUUCUGUUUGUGAAGCUAAGAAUUUGGCUGUAAGUCUGUUGGUAACAGGAUGGACAGUUUCAAAACAGGAACCGGGUAGAAGAGAAGACAUCACUCUAACGCUGUCGGGGAGGCGCCGUGCAGGUAAGAAGUUUGUAUACAAUAAAAGGCUAGGUGGGUUGAGGACACAGAAAUGGGAUGAAUUUCUAAGAGAAGCAAGGUGACUAGGCUGUGACACCCUAAGGCCGCGCAGGACGGGCAGCGGGGCCCGGGAGGCAGCCGUGACACGGGUACCAUUAUAGCCGCUGGGGGCUUAGGCAGGACUACGGGGGGGUGCCUCAGAAAGUCUGAAUCAAAAUGCCUGCCUCAUCUUCAUGCCCAACAAGGCAGAGUAGCUUCCUUUCCUCUACUUUUUCACAGGCUCUGGGACUGAGUAGAGGAAAAGCCCCCUGAAGACUUGUUGACACCCAUUUUCCGAGCUAAUCCUGAUGUAGGGCAUAUGUCACUGAAAUAGUGUUAACUCACCCUUCUUUGGGAUUGGGGCCCUUCAGCAAGCACAGCCUCAAGGUGCUCCUUGGUGACCCACCUCCCGGGACUGGGUUCUGCCGUUGGCUCCUGAUCCCACCUUGCUCUGCCUCACCUGGCUGUCAGGGUCCAGGGUCCGUCCCACUCACUGAUGGCAUUCUGCCUUGUGGGUGCCGAGGGCUUCUGGGGGAUCCUGUGCUUGCCUGGCUCCAGACAGCGGCUAACCUGGGAACCCCUGCUCUGAGCCGUGAUGAGAAUCUCACUGUAACUUUUCAGAAGCCCAGUGCUGUUGACUCACUCCCUCAGCCUUCCUGGCGGGUCCUCUGGUCUUUCCGAGUCCCGGUGCUCCUGGUCCCCCAGCCCCUGCCUGGACUAGUGGAGGGAUCUCGCCCCUGGUUCCUCCUUGGCCCCCCUCUGCUGGCCUGCUCAGGGCGUCUCGGCCCUCAGGUACGAUCACGCAGGGGCUGAGGACAGCAUCUAAGUGAUGCGACAGCUCCUGCCCUCCAGGAGUUCUACUAGUUGAGAAGACGGAAUGUGUACAGGAACCGUGUAAAGCACAAUUUAAAGUGAAAAAAUAGAGAUUUUAAAAAGCAACAGAAAGAGCACAGGAAAGUGCACAAUCAGGUGGCAGGUACAGUUUAUAGACAAUUGCUAGGAACUGGACAGCGUGAUCAGAAAGGGCUGAAUUUGAACUUCUGAUUUGGGGAAAGCAUUGUGGAUAAAUUUUUAUGGGUAGAAAGGAGAGAGGGGAAGUGAAGAAUUAUGGGCUGACGUGUUCCCAGAUUUCCUGUGUUGAAGCCCUAGCUUCUAGGACCUGAGAAUGCAACUGUAUUUGGAGAUAGGGCCUUAAAAGAGGUAAUUAAGGUGAAAUGAGGUCAUUAAGAUGCACCAUAAUCCAAUAGGACUCUUAUAAGAAGAGGCGAUCAGGACACAGGUACACGCUGAGCGAAGCCCAUGUGAGGGCACAGGGAGAAGGCAGCCAUCACAAGCCAUGGAGAGAGGCCUCGGGAGAAGCCAGCCCUGCUGGCAUCUCAGACCUCCAGCCUCCAGACUGUGAGUAUAAACGUCUGUUGUUGAAGCCACCAGCCAGUGGUUCUUUGUUACGGCAGCCACAGCGCACUGAGACAGGCGGGCUACAAAUGCCUGGAGCUAUGUCAGCAAAAGCACACUGGGUGGGAGAGGACCCUCUGCCGGGAGGAGAAAGGGUCCUGGUGCAAGGACAUCAUGCAGGCAAGGAGCUGUCAGUGAACAAGACCAGGAGCAGGUGGGCUGGUGGGUAGGGGCGGGGAGCGGGAGCACCCAAAAGGGAGGAGCACGCUUCCGCCCACCAGUUUGCUGAGGAUACCCCUUCUGAGGGAUUCACCACUGCUCAGUGCAAACAUGAAACCCAGUUUACUUUGGGAUUAUUCAAGGCCUGGAAGGCUCCAGGGCGUAAGAGGGACAGGAAAGGGGAAGACAACAGACGCAAAGACAAAGGAUGAAGGAGAGAGGGAGGAGGUGACCUCUCUGGGGUUGGAAAGACUUGAAAUGUCACAGAGUGGGCAGCGGCGGCUGGUAAAUCUGCAGGUGAGGAUAGAAAUAACGCAGAAACCACUCCCGACGAACAGCCUUUUUCAAAAAUGUGUCUGCCCAUGAUCUCUGUGCCCUGCAUUCAGAACCAAUAGCGUUGGGACAGGAAGGCAGCAGUAGGGGUGAGGGUAACUGUUCUUGGGGAGGAGCCUGGGGAGUGCCCUGUCCCCAGGGGCCACCUCCUGCCGGGGCUCCUGCCUGGGUCAGGCCUGGUUUGGGGCAGACCAAGUUGCUGAGGGAAGCCUCACCUUGACACCCAGGGCUAUUCACGGAGCACUGCGUCCUCACAGGAGCUGCACCUUCUGGGGCAAGGGUACCCACCCCAGGGCCGUUAGUGCUUGUAAAUUUGGCAAGAUGUAGAGGGUGGAAUUAUGGAGAGGGAGGCUGGAUAAGGAAUGGAGGCUGGAGGGAGAAAGGGAUGGAUCAAGACAGAGGACAGGAGAAGAGAAGCGAAGCACUGCAUGGCGGGGCACAGGUCUUGCUGUCUGUGCCCAGUGCAGGCAGUGGCGGUGUUAUUGAUCACUCUUCAUAUUUCCAGGUCUUUCCAUAUCAGCUCUGCACCCAUGACCAUUCCAUGCCUGCCUCCCCCCUCCCCUGAGCCCUGCUGUGCAGUCUCAUCUCCCAACGCUGGGGACACCCUGUCCUAGGCCACAGGACGUGUACACCUUUCUUCCAACCGGGGCUGCAUCCCUCCUUCACCCGCACUGCCCAUCAGGCCUGGAGAGAGGGUGGGAAGGAAGCACAGCUCAGAGAGAUAUGGUUCUUUCUUCCAGGGAGGCCACCUAUGUGUCCCCACAGACUGAGACAAAAAGGAAAAAUAGGGAAAGAAGGACAAGGAUGAGGAGUGAGGGGGACAGAAGAAAUCCUGCAGGAAGCUCGCAUUUGCCUUUUGGAAGAUGUCUUCCCCAUCCAGCAGCUCUUUCUGUACCCCACACCUUGGUGAGCUCUGGGGCAUGCCCUCAAAUGCCCUGGCACUGAGCGCGGUGGUCAGGAGGCCUUCCCGAAGAGCCAGUGUGCCCCAAAAGCCUCGGGGACCUCCACUUCAGCGGGCUUCAGGGGGGCGGGGACCGCAGCCUUGGUCCAGUGGCACUUGUUGCUAUGCUCGGAGUCAGCCAGGUUGUAUUGGAGGAUUGUGCCAAGGAGGGGAAGGGCUGAGAGAGCCCCUGGACUCCCCUGGGCUGUCACUGACCUGCCUGCUCUACAGAACGCGACCGAGGGAGGGAUGGUCAGUGCUUCUCUGUCCCGAAGCUUGUGCAGAAAAUCGCGAUGAUAAUAAAUGCAAGGCUGGUUGUAUGGGGCAGCGCCCUCCCGAGUAUGAACUCAGCACCUUGCCUAAUGACACACACAGGCUGGGACCAUUAAUAUAGUCAUGUGGAGAUGUGUCAACGGCAUAUUAAAAAAAAAGGUGCUUGUUUGUCAAACACCAAAAUCCACUGCUUAGUGUCAUUUGCAUGACAUUGUAAGCUUGUGAUGGCAUAGGACAAGGAUGGCAAGUAUGGCCCAUGGCCUGUUUUUUCUCUACAGCCUGUGAACUAAGAAUGGUUUCUAUAUUUUUAGAGGGCUAUCCAAAAAAAAAAAAA